rnacentral:lncRNA from 1 species
GUCCAAAUUAUACAGUCCCAAAAGAUAAAAUGCAAAAAUAUAAAUCCUAUUCUAUACUAAUCCUAGACUAAUGCUUUAUUCGACGCCUCGGGCCUUCAUCACAAACAUCCUCCGAGAACAAGAUACCUCGGGGCAUUCCCCGGUGAAUAAGUACAUAAGACCUCGGGGCAUUCCCCUGCUAAAUAAAUACAUUUCUUCAAUGUGAGAGAACCAAACUAUUCAAUAGAACAUCAAAUAUUCAACAAAAUUUCAAACAUUCAACAAAAUACUUGAUCCUAAAUUUUGCCUCCCCGGACCUGUAUUUGCCUAUUCUGUUUCAACACAUCACAAUUCUAUCGCGUUUAACAUUCACAUUUUGCUCCAAAAUAUCCAACGAUAAUAAAUCAGGACUAAAUAAUAUUCAUUUUCUUUAAUCAAUUCCUUCCAUCAAACCCCACAUUCCUUUUUAACACCAAAAUUCACAAUUCAAGAUUACUAUUUCAACAAUCCACAACCAUUUCUUCUACGAAACUAAAUAAAGCAAAUCGAUAUCACCCAACAUUCAAUCAUGUCUCACACAAAUCAAAGACGUAUGACGAAAUAAAAUAAGAAGAGAUAGAAUUGGACCUUUCGGUGAUUCAUUUUCGUUGAUAAUAAUAUUUAAGAAGGCCCGGACUCGGAGUUUCGAAUAGAACACCUCGACAAUGAACUAAGCUCCAACUCGAUAUCACAAACCCGACCCUAUUUCACCCGUUUCCAUGAAAUGUCACCGGAAUCAGAUCGCAAGCAGUCAAUUUCAAUCGAUUGGAGACCGAUUUUACUAGUUUCGGUUAGUUGAACUGAGUUUUCCAAUGGGAAACCAGUCACCGGAAAGAUCAAACCAUGGGAAUUUUCAACUCUCCAUCGAUCUCUCUUUGCUUAUCUCUCUCUCGCGCUCGAUCCCUUUUUCAACCUAUUUUCGAUCCCUCCUCCUAUGUUUUUUUCAAGAAAAUUAUUUCUCCCUUUUGAAAUCUCGGAUCUAUCUCUUCCUUACUGUUCAACCUCUCUCCCUUUUUAAUUUUGUGUAUGUGGGUGUUUUUAUUCAACUGUAGGUCUGCCUAAAAUUCAUGUGUGGUGGUGUAUUCGUAUGUGAUGGUGAGGAGUGUAUGUGUGUUUUAAUUCCAGUGAAGUGUGUAUUAGUGUGUUGAAGUAAGGUUCCAGGUGGGUCGGUGUAUACAAGUGAGUAUAUCUGAUAGGGUGUGGACGAAGGUGCGUGGACGAUGGUGUGGAAGAGAAGAUGGAUAAUCAGAGUGUUGGUGUAUUUUUCUGGGUGUUUUCGAGUAAAGAUGAUGAAGAAGAAGCAAAAAGGAAAAAACCCCUUUUCUGAUGGUAGUAUGUGUGUAUAUAUAUUGUCAAAAAGCAAAUUCAGUG